rfam:Gossypium arboreum cultivar AKA8401 contig_3948_5, whole genome shotgun sequence.
UGUUAAAAGUUUUAUCCAUUUGUACUAUUAAAAAUUGGCAUGGCUGAUGAAAUAACCAGACAAUGGCACAUGACAUACCACGUGUAUCUCAUGCUGAUAUAAAUGGAUCUAUUUUUAACAGUAGAAAAAGAUAAUUUUUUUUAACA